rnacentral:tRNA from 1 species
GCGAAGGUGAUGGAAUAGGUAGACAUGCUACUUUGAGGGGGUAGUGCCGGUUGCGGUGUGGGAGUUCGAAUCUCCUCCUUCGUA